GAUUUUUUAUAUGUAUCGUGUUAAGCUUAGAUUGUUACAGUUUACUGUAAAUAUGGUGAUAAACAUCUAAUUAAUUAGGUUUAGUGGACUCGGGGGCGGAGCCCGACAUCUCCACCAAUGGGGAUGAAUUAGGUUCGACACGAAUUGAAAAGUUGGGUUUUUACUCGGAUUGGUUUCCCGUAAUAAGACUAAUAAGUAAAUGCAAAUGAUAAUGCAUCAACACCAGUUAAUAACUGGCGUCAAGCAGCGAACAGUUCCAUGUUUGGAGCUUUCCAUGGUUCUAGUCAACCAGUAGCUGCCUACGCCUAAUGCUGGCAAAUGUACACAAAGCGCAAAAUGCAAAAUUUGUGUAUAUUAAGCGGUUUGCAGGAGCCGGGCAACAGAAUUCCUGUACU
rnacentral:tmRNA from 1 species